CCCCUGCGCCGCCGCUGCCAACCCGGAAGGAGCCCGGAGGGGCCCGGGCGGCCAGGGCGCCCCCGCCAGGAGGCCCGCCAGGUGUCCACCUGAGCCCCACGCCCUGCGCCGCGGGGCCCUUUUGGGGGCGGGGUGCCAGCUCCGAGGUGUCCUCCCACGGGCUGUAGACUGGGAAACUGAGGCCCGGGCCACGGUCCCAGACGCAGCCGGGACCCGAACCCACCUCACCUGAGCGAAUGAUAUCCGGGACUCAUCCUUUUUCGACACCUUUGCGGGAUCCAGCCCUCCAAGGAAAGCUUCCUGAGCAGUGCGCGCCACGUGUAUUGGGCACCUCACCGCGGCCACUUCACAUCCUAUCUCAGGUGGAGAAACUAAGCCACAGAAAGGAGCUGUCAUUUACCUAAAGCACCGUGGCAGGGGUUUGGCAGAGCCAGGAUUUGUACCCAGAUCGCCUGACUUCGGAGAGUAACAGCUCUUAACCACAGCACUUCGGUCUAUGCCUUGAUUUCACCAUAUGUAACAAGGUUGGAGUGCUGGAGGACAGUGGCAUAAUCUUGGCUCACUGCAACCUCCACCUCCUGGGUUCAAGCGAUUCUCCUGACUCAGCCUCCUGAGUAGCUGGGAUUACAGACAUGCAUGACCACGCCUGGCUAAUUUUUGUAUUUUUAGUAGAGACAGGGUUUCGCCAUGUUGGCCAGGCCAGUCUUGAACUCCUGACCUCAGGUGAUUCACCCACCUCGGCUUACCAAAGUGCUGGGAUUACACUGUGAGCCACUGUGCCAGGCCACAAUUUCUGUAUAGAACAAAAACACAGCUGACUCUUGAACAACAUGGGUUUAAACUGAUGGAUCCCUUUAUAUGCGGAUUUUCUUCAGCCCCGUCACCCCUGAGAUAGCAAGACCACCCACUCCUCUUCCUCUUCCUCCUCCUCAGCCUACUCAUCAUGAAGACAAGGAUGAAGACCUUUAUGAUGAUCCACUUCCACUUAAUAAAUAGCAAAUAUAUUUUUUCUUCUUUAUGAUUUUCUUAAUAACAUUCUUUUUAAAAUUUUUUUUUCAUAUUUUUAAGAGUUGGGGUCUCGCUAUGUUGCCCAGGCUGGUCUUGAACUCCUGGACUCAAAUGAUCCUUCCACCUCAGCCUCCCAAAGUGCUAGGAUUACAGGCAGGAGCCACCACACCUACCCACAUUUUCUUUCCUCUAGCCUACUUUAUUGUGAGAAUACAGUAUAUAAUAACAUAUAAAAUAUGUGUUAAUUUUUUUUUUUUUUGAGAUAGAGUUUCACUCUUGUUGCCCCAGCUGGAGUGUAAUGGCGUGAUCUUGGCUCACUGCAACUUCUGCCUCCCAGGUUCAAGCAAUUCUCCUGCCUCAGCCUCCCAAGUAGCUGGGAUUACAGGCAUGUGCCACCACACCCAGCUAAUUUUGUAUUUUUAGUAGAGACAGGGUUUCUCCAUGUUGGUCAGGCUGAUCUUGAACUCCCGACCUCAGGUGAUCCACCUGCCUCGGCCUCCCAAAGUGCUGGGAUUACAGGUGUGAGCCACAGCGCCCAGCCUUAUGGACUGUUUAUGUGAUCAGUAAGCUCCCGGUCAGCAGUACGCUGUUAGUGGUAAAGUUUUUCGGGAGUCAAAAGUUAUGUGCACAUUUUUGAGUGUGCAUGAGGGGGAUCAGUGCCUUAAUCCCCAUAUUGUUCAAAUGCCAACUGUAAUAUGAUUAAUUGUGGAAAUUUUUGCAAUGUCUAAAUUAGAUAAAAAGGCUAAUUUUCUCCACAUAUAAAGAGCUUUUACAAAUCAAUAACAUUUGAUCAAUGACUUAAUAAAUGAAUAAAAUUUGUGAACAGACGACUAACUCAGAAUGAAAAGGCUUCACUCAAAAGAAAAGCAAUGUGCUUACGUGUGGUGGCUCACACUUAUGAUCCCAGCACUUUGGCAGGCCAUGGCAGGAUGAUUACUUGAGACCAGGAGUUCAAGACCAGCCUGGGCAAGAUAGCAAGACCCCUAUCUCUACAAAAAAUUUAAAAAUUAGCUGGUUGUGAUGGUGCACACCUGAGCAAGAUCGUUUCUUAAAAAAAAGAAGAAGAAGAAAGAGUAAGAGAAAAAAAAAGAAUUCAAAUGAAAAUCACAAUGCAAAGCUGAUGCAGCUGUGCCACUUUGCAUUCCCACCAGCAGCACGCAAGCGUUCGAAUUUCUCCGCACGCUCCCCAACAGGACAAGAGCUUGCCGUGUUGCCCCAGGCUGGUCUCAAACUCCUAGCCUCAAGCAAACUUCCUGUCUCGGCCUUUCAAAACCCUGAGAUUACAAGCAUAAGAAAAGAAAAUCUUGUAAGAUGAAAGCUGAAGGAUGAGAGCAAUUAAUUGAUGAAGUAUGAUGAUCCAGGUGUCCCUGGGUGAAGAAACAACCUCUACAAAGGCCCUGAGGGUCUCGCUCAUCACCAGGCUGGAGUACAGUGACAUGAUCAUGGCUCACUGCAGCCUCAACCUCCCGGGUUCAGGCUAUCCUCCCACCUCAGCCUCCCAGGACCACAGGCGUGUGCCACCAUGCCCAGCUAAUUUUUUGUAGAGAUGGGGUUAUGCCAUGUUGCCCAGGCUGGUCUCGAGCUGCUGGGCACAAGCAAUCUACCCAUCUCAGUCUCCCAAAGUGCUGGCAUUAUAGUCGUGAGCCACUGUGCCCAGCCAACAGCGUCUUUCAAAGAGCAGAGAGAGGUUAAUUUUGAUGAUGUCCAGUUUGCACCUUUGUUGAAAAUUGACCAUAUAUCUGUGAGUCUGUUUCUAGACUCUUUGUUCUGCUUUAUUAAACUACUUGUCUAUUUGUACACCAA